rnacentral:rRNA from 1 species
GAUGAACGCUAGCUACAGGCUUAACACAUGCAAGUCGAGGGGCAGCAUGAACAUAGCUUGCUAUGUUUGAUGGCGACCGGCGCACGGGUGCGUAACACGUACCCAAUCUGCCCGUUACUCGGGGAUAGCCUUCUGAAAGGAAGAUUAAUACCCGAUGGCAUGCAUCUGCGGCAUCGCAGGUUCAUUAAAGAUUUAUCGGUAACGGAUGAGGAUGCGUACGAUUAGCUAGUUGGCGGGGUAACGGCCCACCAAGGCGACGAUCGUUGGGGGUUCUGAGAAGAAGGUCCCCCACACUGGAACUGAGACACGGUCCAG